UACGUAGGGUGCAAGCGUUAUCCGGAAUUAUUGGGCGUAAAGAGCUCGUAGGCGGUUUGUUGCGUCUGCUGUGAAAACUGGGGGCUCAACCCCCAGCCUGCAGUGGGUACGGGCAGACUAGAGUGCGGUAGGGGAGAUUGGAAUUCCUGGUGUAGCGGUGGAAUGCGCAGAUAUCAGGAGGAACACCGAUGGCGAAGGCAGAUCUCUGGGCCGUAACUGACGCUGAAGAGCGAAAGCAUGGGGAGCGAACAGG
rnacentral:rRNA from 1 species